rnacentral:rRNA from 1 species
GAUGAACGCUGACGGCGUGCCUAAUACAUGCAAGUCGAGCGAACGGACGAGAAGCUUGCUUCUCUGAUGUUAGCGGCGGACGGGUGAGUAACACGUGGAUAACCUACCUAUAAGACUGGGAUAACUUCGGGAAACCGUAGCUAAUACCGGAUAAUAUUUUGAACCGCAUGGUUCAAAAGUGAAAGACGGUCUUGCUGUCACUUAUAGAUGGAUCCGCGCUGCAUUAGCUAGUUGGUAAGGUAACGGCUUACCAAGGCAACGAUGCAUAGCCGACCUGAGAGGGUGAUAGGCCACCCUGGAGCUGAGACACCGUCCAGACUACUACGGGAGGCAGCAGAAGGGAAUCGUCCGCAGUGGGCGAAAGCCUGACGGAGCAACGCCGCGUGAGUGAUGAAGGUCUUCGGAUCGUAAAACUCUGUUAUUAGGGAAGAACAUAUGUGUAAGGAACUGUGCACAUCUUGACGGUAACUAAUCAGAAAGCCACGGCUAACUACGUG